rnacentral:rRNA from 1 species
UACGGGGGGGGCAAGCGUUGUUCGGAAUUACUGGGCGUAAAGGGCUCGUAGGCGGCCAACUAAGUCAGACGUGAAAUCCCUCGGCUUAACCGGGGAACUGCGUCUGAUACUGGAUGGCUAGAGAUUGGGAGAGGGAUGCGGAAUUCCAGGUGUAGCGGUGAAAUGCGUAGAUAUCUGGAGGAACACCGGUGGCGAAGGCGGCAUCCUGGACCGGCAUUGACGCUGAGGCGCGAAAGCUAGGGGAGCAAACGGG